rnacentral:misc_RNA from 1 species
AUAAUAUCGAGUGAAUUCUAACUGCACGGAUGUGAAUUUAUGGCUCACAGAUAGAGUGACAAAAAAGUUAGAGAGAGAGAGAGAGAAAGAGAGGAUACAAAACACCACAACAACCAGUUGUUUUAGACCAACACUGAGAAGUAAAGGUAAGACAUUUAUAUUUCUAGACCACAACCUGUGCAGUUCUUGCAGUUUAAUUUUUUGUGUGUUUGUGUGCUAGACCGUGUCAUUAGAGUCAACCGUUUGUUUAUUAUAUAUAAACAAGGCUAGUAUAUAUGUGGAUGUGUUCUGCAAGGACACCAGACAUUCGUAGUGAUGAUACGGUUAUCCAUGAUUAAAUACAGAGUCAAUGAUUUCCAUAAACAUAUCCCGUUCUUUUCGAAAAGUUAAUUGUUUUCCGGAACUCCU